AGAAUGCAAAUGGUCUAUAAAUUUUUAAUGACGAGGUCGUGAAUACAAUUGUAUAGCGUGCAUUUACCAGCUUCCCAGGACUCUGCUAAGCCCGCCCAUGAAAGGUCUUCGUGAGUGCUCAUGGAAGCCUUGAGGCCCGCGCUGUUGGGCCUCGCCCAGGGAUGCUGGGACCUGUGUGGUGUGGUUAGGGAACCCAGCCAAGGUCACACAGGUCCUGAUGGAGCCAAGGUUCAAACUGACGCUGCUUCGUUUCUCACUUGGGAGCCUGAACUCUUUAUCCCUUUUGCUAAAAGAUGUCAUUCUAUGUGUUAAUGCUGGUGAAGAUUAAAUGAGUUAAUAUAAAGAGCUUUGAACAGUGCUGGGCACGUGGUACUUGAUAAACGUCGCUGUUAUCUGGAAACUUUUUCCCUUCCCCCAGCCAAUUUUGUGCCUCAGUGGCCCGGGCAGUGGCCUUGGUCACGAGAUAAGGGUGUGGCAGAGCUGCUGCCAGGUGGAGGGUGGCAGGGAUUCCCCAGGCUUCAUAGGAGCAGAGGGGGUUGGUUUGCAAUCCUGGAGUGGAUUGGGGCUAGAGGUCUGGAAGCCGGGACUUUCUCCGUGGCCGGUGGCUGUGAGAGAUGCAUAUUGCGUCGUUCUUUCUAUUUUUUGUGACAGAGCAGAGCAGAGGCUUUUUUUUGGUUCAAACGGGAGUCAGGGGCAAGGCCGAGCAGAGAAGCAGAGCAGCUGUCAGGAGAAUUCAGGCUGGAGCAGGCUCAGGGCCCAGGGAGAGGGGGGACACAGCGAAACAGGACUUCUGCUGGCCAGCCACGGCCCCGCGCCGCCCUCCCGGGCCCAAUUGCUUAGGAGAAGGAAGGAAACCAGCCUUUUCCCACUGCCAUUGUGUCCCUGACAGGUUCGUCAAUCAGCUCGGCUCAUCCUCAGCCUCUCACGCUGGCUGUCGCUCCUCUUUGACGGGAGAGGAAGAGGAAGGGGAAGAGGAAGAGGAGCUUCAAGGGGAGGGGCAGGGCCAGCCGAGCUGGGCCUCCAGAGCCCCUGCUCCUUUCACGCCAGAGAGCUGUCCCCGGCCGGCCUGUGUCCCAGAGAAUCAACGCCAGGGAGGCAGGAAUCCACCAGCGGCGGGAGCUCCUGGCACUCAGGGCCUGGAGAAAGGCGAGGGUCGAGCCCAGGACUCCUGCCUGGGCCUGUGUCCCUCGCCGACCCCUGCCUUUCACCUUCCUGUCCCCGGACCCUGGACAGACCCUUGGCCUGCAGGGGCGGCCUGUCCCCGUGCCAGCGCAGCGGGCUCGGCUCUCACAACAAUAGCUGGAAGGGCCUCUUGGAGCAAGUACUUCCUGAAGUGCCCAGAACAGCCACUGUCCCCGCGGCUCAGGAACAAUCACAGCUCAUGCCAGCUUCCGUGCUCCCAUCGGGGCCUCGGCAGAGCCCGGGCCUGCGGCUGUGGCUCUCACUCCAGGGGGACAGGCCCCAGCUGCUCUAAGCCUCAGGGGUCCAGGGCAGGCCUGGGGACAUGUGGCUGUUUGUUCCCGUGGAAGCCAGAGGAAAACCCCUGGAUUCUCACUUUCCUUUCCCCUUCCUGUAAACCAACUGCCUCGUCCUUGAUCUUUGUACUUCUGUCGUCUUUCUUCAGGCUUUGUAAACAAAGAGGGAGAAGAAGAAAAAAAGAGCCAAAAGGAAAAUAUAAAUUCUGGAAUCAGACGAUACACUCAAUUAUUCAUUCAGCAACAUCGAGUGAGGCCUGCUGUGUGCCAAGAACAAUGGGGUACGAAAAAAAGAGUGAGUUGGUCUCCACUCACUUACGUAUUUAUCUACUCACGUCAUAAUAAGGCUAGAGCUCCCGCCGGGUUCCAGGCAUUGUGGUUGUGGCGAUGCCUGGGUGGCUUGGGCCCUGCCUGCUGGGGGACGGAGCCAGUGGCCCAGCAGCUGAAACGCAGCAGCUGAUGUGGUCGUGGUGAAGAUGACAGCGAGCCAAUGCAUGUGGAGCGCUGCGACGCCCCUGCCGGCAGUAGGUGCUGUGGAUUGUCGCUAUGAUUGGGGCGGGGGCGGACAGGAAGCCUGCAGAGAGGAGCAAUCCGUCACCUGUAGGAGCUCCGACUGUGGACAGGCGCCAGCAAACUGAGCAGAGGCGGAAAGACCGGGCUCCUGCCUGCGGGGAACCAACAGUAUCCAGUUGUUGCUAAGAACUUGGAAUCCGAGAGACCUGGGUUCCAAUCUCAUCUCAUCUGUGUGACCUUGGACAAGUUAUUUGUCCUCGUUGAGCUCCACUGUUCUCAUCUAUAAAAUGGGCGUAAAGACAGCACAUUCAUUUCAGGGACGCGGGAGGCCUGACUGAGAUGAUCCUUGUAAAUAGCCGAGAAGACACAGCCCUGGAAAAGAGGUAGCUGCUAAGACCGUUGGUAAAAAGCGAAAGAGGGGGAGACUUUUAUAACAAGCAGGAGGAGGAUGUCCUCGGACCGUCUGGCUCACCUCUCGGUGGCUUCCCAUUGCUCUAGAAUGAAGAUGUACUUAGCCCCCUGGCUCUCCUUUACUCCAUCUGUCCUGUUGGUAUGUACACGGCCUAGAAGCUUCUGAUCACAGGAGGGACAUCGUUUACUAGAGGAAGGCUUCCCCGCCGCCAGAUGUGGUCAAGCGCAUGUACCCCUGCUUCACAGCUCACAGCUCCCUUCGUUUUCGGUAGUGUCUGUCACCCCCUCUGAACUGUAAGCCCCUGUGGAGCCAGAGGUCGUUCUCUUUUACUUAUUGUAUUUCUGGCACUUAGUGUGGUCCCUGUAACAGGAAACCAGUAAACAUUUACUAAAUGGGUGAAUAAACAAGCUGAAGAUUGAACUCUUA